GGACAUAGAGAAUGAAUGGUUACCUUGGAAGAAAUCAUCUCUAGAUAGUCAUGGGCUACAUGACUUUGCAGUAAACAUAAAUCUCCAGAAUCCCAAAAAGUCUUCUUUUCUAUUCAAAGACACCCGGAGACGCCCUCACAGACACCCGGGAACACCCUCACACACCCAGGAACACACAGACACCCGGGAACGCCCUCACGGACACCCGAAAGUAAUGUUUAACCAGCUUAUAUGAGGAAACAGCAACCCACUCGUGUUCUUGCCUGGAGAAUCCCAAGGAUAGAGGAGCCUGGCGGGCUACAGUCCACGGGGUCGAGAGAGUCGGACACGACUGAGUUACUAAACCAUGAACAUCUCGGCGCGCAGUCAAGCUGCUAAGUUAAUUAACCAUCACAGGGAAAAAUUAUUUCACUGAAGAAGUAACAGGACAAAAUAGGGCGGCCAACCAAAGACCCCAAGAAGCCAAGAAGGCGCUUCGGAGAUGCGGCGUCUGUCUGUGGCUCAGAGACUUCCCUGGUGGUCCAGUGGUUAAGAAUCCACCUGCCAGUGCAGAGGACACAGAUUCGAUCCUUGGUCCAGGAAGAUUCCACGUGCCUCAGGGCAAGCCUGAGCGCCGCAACAACUGAAGUCUGUGUGUCCUAGAAUCCAUCCUCUACAACCUGUGCACCACAGCUAGAGAGUAGCUCCCACUCGUGACAACGAGAGAAAGCCCACAUGCUGCAAUGAAGACCCAGUACAGCCAAAAAUAAAAUAAAUAAAUACAUAAAUAAAAGGACCACAAUGUUACAAUAAGAAAGAAAGCUACUUUUUAUUAAAUUAUAGCUGAUUUACAGUAUUGUGUGUGUUAGUUUUGGGUGUACAAAGUGAUUUGGUCAUACAUAUGUAUAUGUUGUUUUUCCUGAUUCUUUCUCGUUAUACUUUACUACAAGAAGUUGAAUGUAGUCCUCUGUUCUAUACAGUAAAACUUUGUUGUUUAUCUCAGAAAGUUACUUUAGUUUCUGAGUUUGGGUGGUGGUGGUGGUGGUGUGAGGACUUUUUGUUUGUUAAGUUUUUGUGUUUAAUUGUGACAACAGAAAAUGGUUGUGAGGAUUUGGGGAAGAAAUACAGAAUAUUCCUGAGGCCAGUUGCUUUAUAAAACCGACCACACAAAAUCUGUUGAUGAAGAAAAAAAGACAUUCUGAUUCCUAUCUGACCGUUUUUAGAUUGGGGCAUGGGGACGAUUAGGGACAGUGCAGGAAAUAACACGGUGUCCACAGAGGAGUGUCCCCUGCCCGUGACCUACAGAUUGCUGCAAACACUC
ensembl:lncRNA